UACGGGGGGGGUAAGCGUUGUUCGGAAUUACUGGGCGUAAAGGGCUCGUAGGCGGCCAACUAAGUCCGACGUGAAAUCCCAAAGCUUAACUUUGGAACUGCGUCGGAUACUGGAUGGCUUGAAUUCGGGAGAGGGAUGCAGAAUUCCAGGUGUAGCGGUGAAAUGCGUAGAUAUCUGGAGGAAUACCGGUGGCGAAGGCGGCAUCCUGGACCGACAUUGACGCUGAGGAGCGAAAGCUAGGGGAGCAAACGGGG
rnacentral:rRNA from 1 species